CGCAUAAUUUGUCUGUUUAACUUUAACUUCAGAAAUGUGCCGAAAGAUCGCUGUUUGACAUUUAUAAUCAUAUUUAUUUUAAAUGUAUAUAAAUAUAAACUAUCUUUGCAUGGAUCUAAUACUACCUAAUAAUGACAUCUAACUACAGUGCUGUUCUGUUCCAAAAUUUCCUGGAAAUGUUGGGCGGAUAUAUCAAUAGAGUUCAAGCAUACUAUCCUGGCAACAACGCUCUGCUCCUUUGGAUGUAUUAGAGAGGAAACCUGUCGACGCAUGGGCUAUUCUUCCUAAAUGGUACCAAGGUGCUCGUUCGCAGGAGGACCACUACUCCCGUAGGAGAUCCGUUUCAUCCCUCUUGCACCGCCAGUAGGAGGGCUGCCACUCCCAAGACUUGCUUAGAAAACCCAAAACUGAAGAGGAUAGAGAUCAAUGGAAUGCAUACAGAUGUGAUGUCAUACACUCACGAAUCACUAUAAAAAAAUAUAGUGUAUAGCUUUUAUGAAGUUAAUUGAGAAGCUAGAUUUAAAAACAAGAAAAGAGAAAUAAAAGGAAGAAAGGGACGAAAGAAGGAGGAACGAUUGAAAGAAAAAUGAAUUUAAAGAAUAAAUUUCAAAAUAGAAAACAGUACAUUUAUUAUUAUUAUUAUCAUCACCACUAUCAUCAUUACGUUUACUAUUACUCAUAUUAUUAUUGCACGCGUAUGGGGAUAAUAUAAAAGAUGUAAUUUAAAUUGAAAAGAGCAGGGGAAAAUAAGACGGAAAGAAGAUGGAGUGCUUGGAAAGGUAAGACACGUUCUGUGUAUGGAAGAGAAAGAGAAACAUUAACAGAAGGGGACAGAUAUUGUGAAAGACGAUUGAAAGGUUUGCUUUUGACGAAAUCCAUUUCCUGACAAGCUCAUUUUCCUAUGUGUUUUCUUGUGGUAUUGUUAAGUUUCAUUCCAGUAAAAAGAGGGAUCCAUGUUUUAUGGAAUGCUUUAUAGCUACAAUAUAUCAAAUUUUGUUUUUAAAAUUUUUAACGUUAUAUAUAUACAUAUAUAAUUUUAUAUAUAUAUAUAUAUAUAUAUAUAUAUAUAUUAGAUUAGAUCAUUCAGUAGCUUUGUAAACUGGUUAACAUAGAUAUGACCGUGUUUACUAAACCGGGUUCAGAUGAGUGAAAAUAUCCAAAUAUAUGAC